UCCGGUUUGUCACCGGCAGUCUCAUUAGAGUGCCCAACUGAAUGUAGCAACUAAUGACAAGGGUUGCGCUCGUUGCGGGACUUAACCCAACAUCUCACGACACGAGCUGACGACAGCCAUGCAGCACCUGUGUUGCCGUUCCCUUUCGGGCACCCCAGGCUUUCCCCCAGGUUCGGCACAUGUCAAGGGUAGGUAAGGUUUUUCGCGUUGCAUCGAAUUAAUCCACAUCAUCCACCGCUUGUGCGGGUCCCCGUCAAUUCCUUUGAGUUUUAAUCUUGCGACCGUACUCCCCAGGCGGUCGACUUCACGCGUUAGCUGCGUUACCGAGUCAAUUAAGACCCGACAACUAGUCGACAUCGUUUAGGGCGUGGACUAC
rnacentral:misc_RNA from 1 species